rnacentral:rRNA from 1 species
UGCGUCAGGACGACGCUGGCGGCGUGCCUAACACAUGCAAGUCGAGCGAGGAGAUUCCUUCGGGAUGAUCCUAGCGGCGGACGGGUGAGUAACACGUGGGCAACCUGCCUCAUAGAGAGGAAUAGCCUUCCGAAAGGGAGAUUAAUACCUCAUAACAUUGCAGUUUCGCAUGGAACAGCAAUUAAAGGAGUAAUCCGCUAUGAGAUGGGCCCGCGGCGCAUUAGCUAGUUGGUGAGGUAACGGCUCACCAAGGCGACGAUGCGUAGCCGACCUGAGAGGGUGAUCGGCCACAUUGGGACUGAGACACGGCCCAGACUCCUACGGGAGGCAGCAGUGGGGAAUAUUGCACAAUGGGGGAAACCCUGAUGCAAGCAACGCCGCGUGAGUGAUGACGGCCUUCGGGUUGUAAAGCUCUGUCUUCAGGGACGAUAAUGACGGUACCUGAGGAGGAAGCCACGGCUAACUACGUGCCAGCCGCAGC